rnacentral:lncRNA from 1 species
CCCACCUUCCUGGUCCCCAGACAUUUCAGGAGGUCGGGAAAUUUUUAAACCCAGGCAGCUUCCUGGCAGUGCCAUUUGGAGCAUCAAAGUGGUCCAUGGGUCUGGAUUUCCAGGAAAGCGGAGACCUCGAGGUGCAGGACUGUCGGGGCGAGGUGGCCGAGGCAGGUCAAAGCUGAAAAGUGGAAUCGGAGCUGUUGUAUUGC